GGUUUGGCAUAAUCAACAGAGAAAGAAGACCUUGUUGAGAUUGACUCUAGUCCAACUUUGUGAAAUGAAUUGAGAGUUGUAGAAUAAGUGGGAAUCAUUUUUGACACAAAUGAAAUACCACUACUUUUAACAUUAUUUUACUUAUAAUUUUGUGGGGCGAAGACGGGGCAGUUACCCUAUUUUUGGCCUUAAGUCAUGUUUCGAUGGGUUGAUAUGGGCGGAAGACAUUGUAGGUGGGGAUUUUGGAUGGGGAAACACAUCUAUUAAAAGAUAACAUAAAAUAUAAUUUGUGUAGAUAGAACAUUUGUAUUUGGGAGAUCCUAGUGCACAACCACCCUUAUUACCUUUCCCUCCUAAUUUGUAGUUACAUCCAAUCAUUUCUAAAUUGAAUCUAGUUUCCUCACUUGCACAAUAUGGAUAGACGUGUGAACCCUAUACAUUAUUAAAUAUUUCAAAACCCCUAUCCAUGAGCCUAUGGUUACAUACAAAUGGGAAAAAAAAGGUGGAUACAAAAAUGACACCCAUUCCUCCUCACAGUCCUCCCUAGGAUCUUGUUGUAUCUCAUAAUGUUGCACACUCCAU
rnacentral:ncRNA from 1 species